AUGGAGUGCUUGCACUCCUGAUGCUUAUCGGCGGACGGGUGAGUAAUACGUAGGUAACCUGCCCUUAAGACCGGGAUAACUCACGGAAACGUGGGCUAAUACCGGAUAGGCGAUUUCCUCGCAUGAGGGAAUCGGGAAAGGCGGAGCAAUCUGCCACUUAUGGAUGGACCUACGGCGCAUUAGCUAGUUGGUGGGGUAACGGCUCACCAAGGCGACGAUGCGUAGCCGACCUGAGAGGGUGAUCGGCCACACUGGGACUGAGACACGGCCCAGACUCCUACGGGAGGCAGCAGUAGGGAAUCUUCCGCAAUGGACGCAAGUCUGACGGAGCAACGCCGCGUGAGUGAUGAAGGUUUUCGGAUCGUAAAGCUCUGUUGCCAGGGAAGAACGCUAUGGAGAGUAACUGUUCCAUAGGUGACGGUACCUGAGAAGAAAGCCCCGGCUAACUACGUGCCAGCAGCCGCGGUAAUACGUAGGGGGCAAGCGUUGUCCGGAAUUAUUGGGCGUAAAGCGCGCGCAGGCGGUCAUGUAAGUCUGGUGUUUAAACCCGGGGCUCAACUCCGGGUCGCAUCGGAAACUGUGUGACUUGA
rnacentral:rRNA from 1 species